rnacentral:lncRNA from 1 species
AUGCUGACUGAGAGGUGGACAGAGAAAAAAAUUAUUAAAAGGCUAAAAAUUUGUCAUAAGACCUCCAUUGCAGAAAGAGUCCUACCCAGUACUCAGAAGGAAGGAACGAUACAGAGAGGCCAAGAAGAAUCUGAAUGGACAGGCCUUGCUGGGUUUCCCUCCCUCCCCCCAGGCUAUCACUAUUAGAUAAUAUCCCUUUUGUCCAAUCACAUUUGUAAACAGCUAUCCUUGCUAAGCAUAAAAAUGGACAGUUCAUGCUGGGUUUUGAGGUCUUCAAUCUCAAGGCUCCAGUGUCAUGUAGAACUAUGAUCAAAUAAAUCUUCACACUUUUCUCUUGUUAACCUGUCUUUUGUCUUGGGGUAUGUGCCAUGACCCUUUAGGACACAAUAGCCAUAAGCUGUAGAUUUUUUUCUAUUAUUUAAAAAGGGAGCACGCCUGUAAUCCCAGCACACAGGAGGCAGAGGCAGGAGGAGCACCAGGAGUUCAAGACUAACCUGGGCUACAGAGUGAGUUCAGGGCCUGCCUGAACUACAAAGUGAGACUCUGUCUCAAAAAACCAAGAAAAACCAAAAAAAAACAAAAACUAAAACAAAAAAAGGAAUGAAAACAUAUUUUGAAUCUUUCUUUUUCCAAAGCUUCAGAUUUUGCACUUACCCUUUCACUUCUCACAGAACCAGUGACGUCAUCAUCAUUUAGGUGGCGCUUGAAUUUGGGAGGCAUACUUUUUACUCCUGCAGUACUUCUCUAGUUCCCAGUAAAGUAACCACCACCUGAAGGAUAAAAUAAAUUUCAGUAGGUUUGAAACUUUAGCGACAGGAUGAAGAAUUUAAGUGUUCAACCUCCUGUCUGGUGGGCUCUCCCCUCACUUUUCUGACUGCUCCACUCCAAUGACCCAGGCCUCCUUACUAGGUUUGACGCAUGCAACUUCCCUAAGAAGAUGAAUGGGAAAAUGAGUAAACUGAGGAUUUUAUAAAAUGAAAAAGUAGAUCAUGUGAAAAGUGGGUAAAUAGGAGGAGGUUCUGUGUAAAUGUUGAAAUGCUUUAUGAUUUUAACUUGGAGUCAGAAGAUAGCAGUGAACUUCUAGGUCUCUCACUUUCAGUUAGUUGUGCAAGCAAUGACUCAGUUUCCUCAUCUCUAGAAUAGUGAUUCCUAUGCUUCUAGAUGGAGUUGGGACAGUCGUAUCAAAUAGCACAUGCAAAGUCAUCUGUAAACUAUCGUCCCACAGGUGCUCCAUGAAAAGGGCUAUGUUUGGCAAGUAC